UGCGGGGUAGAGCAGUUGGUAGCUCGUCGGGCUCAUAACCCGGAGGUCGCAGGUUCGAGUCCUGCCCCCGCUAC
rnacentral:tRNA from 1 species